GAUGAAGAACGUAGCGAAAUGCGAUACGUAAUGUGAAUUGCAAAUUCAGUGAAUCAUCGAGUCUUUGAACGCACAUUGCGCCCCCUGGUAUUCCGGGGGGCAUGCCUGUCCGAGCGUCAUUGCUGCCCUCAAGCACGGCUUGUGUGUUGGGCCCCGUUCUCCGAUCCCGGGGGACGGGCCCGAAAGGCAGCGGCGGCACCGCGUCCGGUCCUCGAGCGUAUGGGGCUUUGUCACCCGCUCUGUAGGCCCGGCCGGCGCUUGCCGAUCAACCCAAAUUUUUAUCCAGGUUGACCUCGGAUCAGGUAGGGAUACCCGCUGAACUUAAGCAUAUCAAUAAGCGGAGGA
rnacentral:misc_RNA from 1 species